rnacentral:ncRNA from 1 species
UACCUGGUUGAUCCUGCCAGUAGUCAUAUGCUUGUCUCAAAGAUUAAGCCAUGCAUGUCUAAGUAUAAACAAGUUUGUACUGUGAAACUGCGAAUGGCUCAUUAAAUCAGUUAUAGUUUAUUUGAUGGUACCUUGCUACAUGGAUAACUGUGGUAAUUCUAGAGCUAAUACAUGCAAUCAAGCCCCGACUUCUGGGAGGGGUGUAUUUAUCCGAUAAAAAACCAACGCGGUUCGCCGCUCCAUUGGUGACUCAUAAUAACUUCUCGAAUCGCAUGGCCUUGGCCGGCGAUGCUCA